rnacentral:rRNA from 1 species
UACGGGGGGAGCAAGCGUUGUUCGGAUUUACUGGGCGUAAAGGGCGCGUAGGCGGUCGUGACAAGUCACUUGUGAAAUCUCCGGGGCUUAACUCGGAACGGUCAAGUGAUACUGUCGGACUAGAGUACAGAAGGGGGCAACUGGAAUUCUCGGUGUAGCGGUGAAAUGCGUAGAUAUCGGGAGGAACACCAAUUGCGAAGGCAGCUCGCUGGGACGUAACUGACGCUGAGACGCGAAAGCGUGGGGAGCAAACAGG